GAUGAACGCUGGCGGCGUGCCUAAUACAUGCAAGUCGAGCGAACAGACGAGGAGCUUGCUCCUCUGACGUUAGCGGCGGACGGGUGAGUAACACGUGGAUAACCUACCUAUAAGACUGGGAUAACUUCGGGAAUCCGGAGCUAAUACCGUAUAAUCUAUUGAACCGCAUGGUUCAAUAGUGAAAGUCGGUUUUGCUGUCACUUCUAGAUGGAUCCGCGCCGCAUUAGCUAGUUGGUAAGGUAACGGCUUACCAAGGCAACGAUGCGUAGCCGACCUGAGAGGGUGAUCGGCCACCCUGGAACUGAGACACGGUCCAGACUCCUACGGGAGGCAGCAGUAGGGAAUGUGCCGCAAUGGGCGAGAGCUUGGCGGAGCAACGCCGCGUGAGAGAUGAAGGUCUUCGGAUCGUAAAACUCUGUUAUUAGGGAAGAACAAAUGUGGAAGUAACUAUGCACGGCUUGACGGUACCGAGUCAGAAAGCCACGGCUAACUACGUG
rnacentral:rRNA from 1 species